rnacentral:rRNA from 1 species
AAAUUAAAACCCAAAGAAUUUGGCGGUACCUUAUUCCAUUCAGAGGAACCUACCCCAUUAUUGAUAAUACACGAUUAACUUUACUUAAUUUAAUUGUUUGUAUAUCUCCGUUAUCAGAAAAUCUUUUUAGAGUUUAAAUUUUCAUGAUUUAUUAUUUUAAAAUAUUUCAGGUCAAGGUGCAGCUUAUAAUUAAGUGUGGGUGGGUUACAAUAAACUUGUUUUUAUUACGGAUCGAUUUAUUUGAAAUUUGAAAUUAAGGUGGAUUUGAUAGUAAAUUAAUUUAUUUAAUUUAGUUGAUAUUGGCUCUAAGGUGUGU